ensembl:lncRNA
AUGAGUCACGCCUUUUAUGUUAAUGAGCGCCAUAUAUGGGCAAAGGUCAGCUGGGACCCCCAAAAUCCCCAAAAUUCACCCCAAAUCCACCCAAAAUCCCCCAAAUUUAUCCCAAAAUCCCCCAAAUUUAUCCCAAAAUCUCCCAAAUUUACCCAAAUUCACCAAAUUUCCCCAAAAUUCUCCAAAUUUACCCAAAAUUCCCCAAAUUUACCCCAAAAUCUUCCAAAUUCAACCCAAAAUUCACCUGGGACACCCCAAAAUCCCCAAAAUUCACCCCAAAUCCACCCAAAAUCUCCCAAAUUUAUCCCAAAAUCUCCCAAAUUCACCCAAAAAUCCCUCAAAUUCCCACCAAAAUUCACCAAAUUUGCCCAAAAUUCCCCAAAUUCACCCCCAAAUCCUCCUAAAUUCACAAAAAAAACCCCCAAAUUAACCCCAAAAUCCACCUGGAACCCCAAAAUUCAACAAAUUCGCCCCAAAAUCCACCUGGAACCUCAAAAUUUCAAAAAUUCACCCCAAAAUUCCACAAAUUCACCCCAAAAUUUCCAAAUUCAACCUAAAAUCCUUCAAAUUUACCCAAAAUUCCCUAAACUCCAACCAAAAUUCCACAAAUUCACCCCAAAAUCCCCCAAAUUCACCCCAAAAUCCACCUGGGAUCCCCAAAACCCCCAAAUUUACCCCAAAAUUGCCGAAAUUCACCCCGAAAUCCCUCAAAUCACCCCAAAAUCCCCCAAAUUCACCCCAAAAUCCACCUGGAACCCCAAAAUUCCACAAAUUCACCCCAAAUCCCCCAAAUUCCCACCAAAAUUCACCAAAUUUCCCCAAAAUUCCACAAAUUUACCACAAAUUCCCCCCAAAAUCUUCCAAAUUCAACCCAAAAUUCACCUGGGACACCCCAAAUCCCCCAAAAUUACCCCAAAUUUAUCCCAAAUUCACCAAAUUUACCCAAAAUUCUCCAAAUUUACCCCAAAUUCCCACCAAUAUUCACCAAAUUUACUCAAAGUUCUCCAAAUUUACCCCAAAUUCCCACCAAAAUUCACCAAAUUCACCCCAAAAUCCCCCAAAUUCCCCCCAAAAUCUUCCAAAUUUAACCCAAAAUCCACCUGGAACCCCAAAAUUUCACAAAUUUACGCCAAAUUUCCACAAAUUCAUCCCAAAAUCCCCAAAUUCAUCCCAAAAUUCCACAAAUUCACCCCAAAAUCCCCAAAAUUCACCCCAAAAUCCACUUGGGAUCCCUCAAAAUCCCCCAAAUUUACCCCAAAAUCGCCAAAAUUUACCCCAAAUCCCCCAAAUUUCUACAAAUUCACCCUAAAAUUCCACUUGGGACCCCCAAAAUUGCCUAAAUUUACCCCAAAAUCUCCCAAAUAUACCCAAAAUCCCCCAAAUCCCCCCCAAAAUUCCACAAAUUCACCCCAAAAUUCCAUCUGGGACCCCAAAAUUCCACAAAUUUACCCCAAAUCCCCCAAAUUCACCCCAAAAUCGCCAAAAUUUACCCCAAAUCCCCCAAAUUUCCACAAAUUCCCCAAAUUUCUAAAAAUUCACCCCAAAAUUCCAUCUGGGACCCCCAAAAUCCCACAUGGGACCCCAAAAUUGCCUAAAUUUACCCCAAAAUCUGCCAAAUAUACCCCAAAUCCCCCCAAUCCC